rnacentral:lncRNA from 1 species
UUUUGAUAGGAAGGCUACAGGCUGCUGUCAGCCACCGUGUUUUUAAGACUAAAAGUUCUUCUGAAGAGCAGGCAAUGUUGGAUGGAGGGAAACAAACAGAGGAGCGAGUCGCCCCUGAAUUGACUAAAAACUCACUGUGGGGCAGGGGAGGAUGAACCCACUGGCAGAGACUGGACUGAGGAAAGUUGCACAAUUUAAGAUGUUGCUAUGCUAGCAAACUCAGUCAUCAGCUAACUCUCAGGAGGAUUUGCAGUGGAAGCAAAGCCAGCAUCUCCUCUCCAUUUAUUCUGUUAUCUAGGAGACACUUCAUAAUGCCAAACAGGGGCCAGGGUUGUAGGAUCUCUUCCCUAUCAGUGAUCCAUGUAAUACUUUUUUUCUCCAAAAAUUCUAUUCCUUGAAAUAACUUAUCCAAUAAAUAU